rnacentral:rRNA from 1 species
UACGGAGGUGGCAAGCGUUGUUCGGAAUUACUGGGCGUAAAGGGCGCGUAGGCGGCAAGGCAAGUCAGGUGUGAAAGCCCCGAGCUUAACUCGGGAAUUGCAUCUGAAACUGCUGUGCUUGAGUUCUGGAGGGGGUAGUGGAAUUCCCAGUGUAGCGGUGAAAUGCGUAGAUAUUGGGAGGAACACCUGCGGCGAAGGCGGCUACCUGGACAGAAACUGACG